rnacentral:rRNA from 1 species
GUAACAUAUAUACUAGCUAUGCUAGAAGAUAGACGAGUGGCGGACGGGUGAGUAAUGCUUGGGAACUUGCCUUAUGCGAGGGGGAUAACAGUUGGAAACGACUGCUAAUACCGCAUAAUGUCUUCGGACCAAACGGGGCUUCGGCUCCGGCGCAAAGAGAGGCCCAAGUGAGAUUAGCUAGUUGGUAAGGUAACGGCUUACCAAGGCGACGAUCUCUAGCUGUUCUGAGAGGAAGAUCAGCCACACUGGGACUGAGACACGGCCCAGACUCCUACGGGAGGCAGCAGUGGGGAAUAUUGCACAAUGGGGGAAACCCUGAUGCAGCCAUGCCGCGUGUGUGAAGAAGGCCUUCGGGUUGUAAAGCACUUUCAGUUGUGAGGAAAAGUUAGUAGUUAAUACCUGCUAGCCGUGACGUUAACAACAGAAGAAGCACCGGCUAACUCCGUGCCAGCAGCCGCGGUAAUACGGAGGGUGCGAGCGUUAAUCGGAAAUACUGGGCGUAAAGCGCACGCAGGCGGUUUGUUAAGCUAGAUGUGAAAGCCCCGGGCUCAACCUGGGAUGGUCAAUUAGAACUGGCAGACUAGAGUCUUGGAGAGGGGGAGUGGAAUUCCAGGUGUAGCGGUGAAAUGCGUAGAUAUCUGGGAGGGAACAUCAGUGGCGAAGGCGGACUCCCUGGGCCAAAGACUGACGCUCAUGUGCGAAAGUGUGGGUAGCGAAACAGGGAUUAGAUACCCUGGUAGUCCACACCGUAAACGCUGUCUACUAGCUGUGUGUG